GCAGUGAAUGUAAUGUAACCGUCGUGCAAGAGAUGGUUUAGUAUACUGUAACCUCCACGAUGAACGCUUGGAAUGAUCAUAACAUGAAUGAGACGCUUUCAUGAAAAUAGUCCGUUCUGAGCCCAUCACCGAGGUGAAUGUAAUGUAACCGUCGUGCAAGAGAUUGGUACACAAUGGUGAACGCCGCACAGUUAAGCUCCUCGGCCCUUUACUUCGCGGCUUCAGCGAUGUUGACCAGCAUUGUGUCGGUGUCAAUAGAUACGUGGAAAAUCACAAACACUAUCCCUUAAUCCGGGAACUUCCGACGGGGCUUGUGGCGGGCAUGCGAGAACGAGAUCUGUGACCGACUGCCAGACACAAAGUUUCUUUUGGUGGUUCGCGUCUUCAUGCUUCUUGGGGUUCUUGAUUUGACUCUCAGUGUGGUGGUUCAGGUAGUAGCUGGGCGGGUCGUAAGUUCAAGUGCCGUGCUGACCCAAGUGGGGACGAUGGGUCCUUUCAUUGCAGGCUUAUGUUGCAUGAUUGCAUUUGCCGUGUACAAGGACAACAUCAAAGUCACUUUACCGUUCGGGUAAGGAGUGUGGAUCCGGAUUUGUGCUGGCGAUUGUCUCGUGGAUAUUAGCGUGGCUCUCGGCAUUGCUCGGUUAUUAUCGGAAGUCCUCGGACGGUUCCGAAGAAACGAAACGAGAAGUAUCCGGAGUAUCAAACGUGACGUAUUCCACGGCUCCUUAGACAAAGAAUAAAUAAAACUUUGUUCUACGUGCUCGAUGAAUGACUAUGCUGUUUAUUGUCCGAAAUACCGAAAUAGAACGCACACU